CGUAGGAGCGAGCGUUGUCCGGAAUUACUGGGUGUAAGGGAGCGUAGGCGGGACGGUAAGUCAGGUGUGAAAUAUACGUGCUCAACAUGUAGACUGCACUUGAACUGCUGUUCUUGAGUGAAGUAGAGGUAAGCGGAAUUCCUAGUGUAGCGGUGAAAUGCGUAGAUAUUAGGAGGAACAUCGGUGGCGAAGGCGGCUUACUGGGCUUUACUGACGCUGAGGCUCGAAAGCGUGGGGAGCAAACAGGAUU
rnacentral:rRNA from 1 species